CAGCCUGGGCCUGGUUCGCGCAUACUCCGGGCGGAGUCGCGAAGACUUCUGGGAGUGCUCACUCUCUCUCGGAGUGCGCAGGCGCGGGCCACCGAGUGGACAUUUUGGUCUUUGUCCGCGGGUCAGGACGGUCUGUUGGUCCACGUGGCGUGCAGGACUCUCUCUUGAUUUCUUCAAGAGGAAUUGCCCGGUGCAGGUGAUAAAGAAACCAAACUAUAUGAUCCUCCACUGAAGCAAGAAGAUCCACUGGAUGGUGGGGAAAAAGUGGAAAAGAAGUCUUGUCAGAAAAAGCCUGAGAAGAUGAUGAACAGAUAGAGAAGCAACAAGACUUGGGAGGCAAGUUGUGUUCAUCAAACUACAGACUGAG